UUUCAAGCCUGGUAACCAUCCCUGUGACAGUUAAAAUUAUCAUUCAGUCCAGAAGCACGCACCAUUAGCACAAUCAAUAACCUUAGUAGUUUCAGCAAAAUUGUCCAUAUUAGAUUCACAAUGAAUAUGGAAGAGUAGCUAGCUAACUUGUCUAUUCACUGUUCAGAUUAAAUACUAAUGCAAAUAGGUAGCUAACUUCUUUAUACAAGGAAAUCUACAGUCACUAAUCUUUAUUCCUCUAUAUAAAAAUUUCAAUUAAGCAGAAACCAUGUAUUUUAGAAUAAAUGCUUCCUCUUUUUUUGAAUUAAGAGUAACAUGUCUAAAUUUCAGUAAUUUUAAUUUGCUUAAAAAAUCAUAAAGACAAAAUACAUACUCUAUCAAAUAACAAAGUUAUGUUUGCAUUGAAUGAAAGGUUUUAGACUUGCUUAUGCCCAAUUCAUGAGUAAUGCAUUGAUCGAGUGGUCUAAAAUUUUAGCUCCAGACUAAAAGCCAAUAGAAUCAUUUUAUAUCAGCAUAACUUUUAUUCAAUCAUGAAUAACAAUUGGAUUUAACCAUGAAUUUUGAUAAUGUAGCAAAAUUCUAUCAACUGUAGCCUACGGAGAUGUAGUACACCAAGUCUUCCCAAGUAUAUCUCUAUGCAGGAUGACCUAAAAUGGUGUGGAAUGAAGUCAUGAAAAAUGAUUGGGUAUCACAAUAGAUAUUAGAAAGUUUGGUACUAAUUGAAGAAAAGGUAUCCUCUUAGACAACACCAACUAGCUAGAUAAUUGCGAUUGAGACUCAAUUGAAUUGAGUUGAGCUUAUUUAUUUAGAAUCUACCAAUGUUAUUAAAAGCACAAAGGGGGUUUUGAAGCCUAGGCACAAGCACAAGCUUGAGUGAGGUGAGAUACAAAUUAAAUAAAAUAAGAAAAGUAAUCCUAUAUUAGACAAUUACUCAUACUAAUAACAUAAAACAUUUACAAUUUUAGCACAAAUGGUUUUUAAAUAAAAAAAAUAGAAUUAAAAAUUUUAAAAUGUCUUGAGCCAUAAUCAUAAUUCCUACUAAAUAGCAAUAAUCCCUAAAACAACCAUAAGACUCAUCAUCAACAUAUCAUAGAUUUCUU
rnacentral:misc_RNA from 1 species